AGAUUCAAACUCUACCCCAAGUCUCUGGAUGGUAUUGCUAAGGAAAAUCACGUAGAUGGCAAAGAGAAAGAAGUAAAAGAUAACCCUUUGGAAACUCCAGAAGUGAAGGGACAAUAGUAGAUCAUGUGACCAUCUAGUCCCUCCAACAUUGAGUGGCUUCUACCCACCCCUGCAAGAUAAUACAAGACACUCAACAUCUUAUCUCACACCUGGAGUUUGGUUGCUUGGGCAAGAGGCCAGAGUGUUACCAGUCCCUAUGUAAAGUAGCAUCAUAAACAAAAUCUGAGGCUAAAAUGCAGCCGAUUCUAGAACCAAGUUACACCUGGAGACAAUGUGAAAUGAAGUUACAAUUUUAGGAUCAUAAUAGCAGUAAAAUUGGAACAUAACCCAAAGGACUUAAAGCAGUUCUAUUUAAGACACCUUUGAAGUGAAGAUGGGGCCGUCCUUCCGCUCUCUUGCCGGAGGCCAACUCCCCGUACAGCAGGUCUUUCGGGAUCCUUCCAUCUGGCAUGCGAUGUACGUGGCCCAGCCAGCGGAGACGACGUUGUUGAAGCAGGGUGAAGAGGCUGGGUAUCUAAGCGCAGGUCAGGACCUCGUUGUUGGUGACUCUGUCAGUCCACUUGAUGUCCAGGAUGCGUCUCAGGCUACGAAGGUGGAAGGCAUUAAGACGCCGCUCCUGUCUGGAGUACUGAAGAACUCCAGUCGUGCACUGAAGAACAUUUUCAAAUUCUAUGGAAAUAUUGAAGCAAUUACACAGGCAUCAUGUGAAAUUAAGGAGGAACAAGUGUGUUUUGUGCAAAGUGUUGUGGUUUAUCUUGGCUUAUGGGUGGAUGCACAUAGCUUGCAGCCUAUAACAGGAAAGAUGCAAACCAUUAUAAAGACUCUAAAACCUGAGAACGUACUGAACUGAGGUCAUUCUUGACAUGGUACGAUAUUAUUUACAUUUUCUAUUGGAUUUGACAAAGUCCUAUUUAUCCUUGGAUCUUGCCUACAAAUAUAUAUAAGGUACAAAUAAGUAAUAAAGCUCUUCUUGUCAUUACAAUUUCACCCCUGAAAUUAUUGUUAGCAUGUAUGGCUUUUGCCAUUGGUCUUAGGGCAGUUAUAAGUUGGUUAUGACCAGGAAAACACACUGAACCAACAAAAAAUCAGAAGGAAGACUCUUGCAGUCUCAGAAUGUUCCUUCACAGAGGUCUUUCAAAAAUUAUCACUGGUAAUUUUGGCCCACAACAUCAACUUUACCACUAAUGGUACUAUUAUAAAUGAUAGGGUAUUCUCUUCUUCUAGACCAACCCAUAAAGGCUUGAAAAUGAGAUGUGAAAGGACAAUUUAUACCUAGUUCAAGUGAUUGACAAUCUUCUCAUACUUCUUCAUACUUCUUCUCAUGCACUUAGAGGCUGAUCAUGAGGACAAGAAAUAGAAGUAGCAAUAAGCCAUUUGGCCUGUUGAACAUGCUCCACCAUUCAUCAAGGUUGUAUCUGAUCCAGCUCUACACCAUUUCCCUGCACUAUCUGCAAGUCCCUCGAUUUUCUUAACAUCCUGAAAUCUAUGUUUUGAAUGAACUCAAUGAAUGAGCCUCCAUAGCUUUCUAGAGAAGCGAAUUCCAAAGAUUCAUCUCCUCCUGAGUGAAGUAAUUUCUCCACAUCUCAGUUCUAAAUAGACUAAUCUUUAUUUUGAGGCCGUGAGCACUAGUUGUAGAUGCUUCAGCUAAGGGAAACAUCCUCUCUCUGCAUCCAGCCCAUUGAACCUUUUAAGCAUUUGUGAAGUUUUAAUGAGAUCCUUCUCAUUCUUCUAAACGCUGGAGAGUACACCAAAACUGUAAGUAAUACGUUGGGUGUGGUCUCAACACAGCCAUACAUAAUUGCAGUGACAUGUUACUCCUGUACUCAGAUACUCUCGUAAUAAAGGCCAACAUACCAUUUGCUUACCUAAUCACUUACUACACCUGCAUGUUGUUUUCAGCAACUUGUGUACAAGGAUACCUGGGUCCCUUGGAACCUCAACAUACCCAAUCUCUCAAUGUUUAAAAGUUACGCUGCUUUUCUGUUUGUGUACCACAAAAGUGCAUAACUUUACAUUUUCCACAUUACAUUCCGUCUUGCCGUGUUCUUACUCAGUGUGUCUAAGUCCUCUUGAAGCCACUUUACAUCUUGUUCCCUUGCCACAGUCUCUAGUUUUGUAUCAUCAGCAAGCUUGGAAAUACGACAUUUAGUCCCCUCAGUCAAAUCAUUGAUAUAGAUUGUGAAUGAGCUGGGGCCCUGUGGUACCCUGCUAUUCACCGAAUACCAAUCUGAGAAAGAUUUAUUUAUUCUUUGCUUUCUGUCCAAUAACCAAAGUUGGAAGCAGGCAGAGGAAAAGCUAAGACAAUUUUAUUUCUGCCAAAGAUGAAUUGUCAUGCAAUCAGAAGUACUUCAGAUGGGCUAUGCAUGGGCCUGUUGCUUUAAGACUUAAGUUAUUGAUCAAGUUAUAUACAUGGCACACUUUUACAUGGGUAUGAAGGCAGUUGGUCAUGGUGUUGUAUAUCUCCAAGGUAUGGAUUGAGAUCUAGAGGAGCUGACCAUGCAAUAUGCUAUCUGUCAACGGUGCAGAUCACCACCCAUGAAAACAGCAAUGUAAGUGUGGGCAUAGCUAAAAAAAAAUCAUUUCAGUGAGAGCACAAUCAUUCCUUUGUCAUUAUUGUUGGUCAUUCUAUGUGAAUGGAAAUUAACCCCGUAGCAGUAACCUCUACAGCAGAACGUACAUUGGGUGAGCUCAGAACAAUUUCUGUAUCAUGGUCAACCAUUUAUGCAUGGGAUGGUUUUGUGGGAAAGGAUGGAAUCAGUAAUAGCUUUGUAUUUGCUGGUAAUUUAUCAUCCAACAGAGUAUAUGAAUAAUCUUCCAGAAUAGUCAAAGAUGCAUUAAAAAAAACAAGUACACAAGGAUUUCCUUUGUUCAGUGAAAGAAUAUUGGUAAAUUUAAUCAUAAAAUAUUGAACUAUUGCACAUAGCAGCACUGGGUACAUGCCAGUAGAACUCAUGGAAAGACAACAUUGACCAAGGUUGAGCUUAGUAAAUUUGGAUCAUCCUGACUGAAUGGAACAGAAACAAGAUUAGUGUCACAUAUACAAGCCAUUACAAGUAUCUAGUGGAGCUUUAGAAGUUAUUGUCCCAGAUCUACAUUUUGUUGGGUUUUGUUGGCAGUACCACAUAGAACUGCCAGUAUUAAUCCUUGUAAGUUCCAGAUUCCCAUUUGAAUGUCAAAGUCCUGAAUCUGCUGACCAAGUUGUUCUGGUGAAUUCACAGAGUCCAAUGACCGAAUAGGAGCUGGCUGGACUCCCCAGCAGAAGUUAGACUUUUUAAAUUAUUUGUAUUUACCACAAUGGAAUUCAUUCCUUAGAAGUGUUUAGAGCAUUUUAAAUGAUUUUAUUUCUUUCUAAAUUUUUAAUUUUUGUAUUUAAAUGGGUUAUUUCAUUUUAAAUGUUUUUAAAAUAUUUCUAAAUGUCAGGGAAUCUGUAAUAUCUUGGCAGCUUUGAAAGACACCAAAACUAUGGCAAUGAUUUGCUAUCAGCAAAGAUUUUCAGAAGAGCUUCAAGGGCAGCCCAUAUGUCUGACUUCUGGCCUGCCCAUAUGUCUGAGUUUCAUUGCACAUGGCUCUCACACAAAGCAGGACUUUGUACUUCUCUCUAGGAUGGUUCUGGCUCCCCAGAUUACCUUUCUGGACGCCCACAGCAUGAUGGAGAACAACGAGUCUCUUCACAGGGUGAAGCUGGGCAUCGCAGCAUGGUGGAAGAGAUGAAUUCAUUGAAUUGUCAGCAUGUGCCUUAAAUCUCAUUCAAACCACCUUCAACCCAAAAUCCUUUCUUUCAAUUACCUUUAAUCGUUAAUUUACUGACUUUAUUUUAAACAGUUGUGUACGGUGUGCCUUUUUUCACCUGUAACUGGUCAGAAAUUGACAACUUAUCUCAUGGUGAUGUAUCUCAUGAGGUUGAUGUGGAUUUGAACUCCAGUCUUGGGAGUGACAAAGUAUCCUGCUACCACCACACCACCCAGUCACGUAUUAUAGAACAUACACAGUACAGGCCUUUCAGCCCACAAUGUUGUGCCGACAUUUUAUCCUGCUCUAAGAUCUAUCUAACCCUUCCCUCCCACAUAGCCCCCUAUUUUUCUAUCAUUCAUGUGUCUAUCUAAGAGUCUCUUAAAUGUCCCUAAUGUAUCUGCCCCCACAGCCUCUGCCGGCAGUGCGUUCCAAUGCACCCACCACUCUCAGUGUAAAAAACUUACUCCUGACAUCCCCCUUAUACCUUCCUCCAAUCACCUUACGAAUAUAAUUUCAGUAUUUUCAAAUUUAAAUAUUUCUUUGAAGAAAGAUAAUAGGAAGGAAAACAUACUUAACUCUCAGAAUCGGUAAACAGAUAAUGAAGCACUAGCUGCAUUAUUGCGGAAUGAUAACUAAGUAUUUGCCAUUCUUUCCAGCUACUAGCUUCUAAGGCAAACCUGAAUAUUUUCAGAAAUAAUUUUAUUAAUGCUAGUAGAUCAGUUUAUUACUUACAUGUUGAGAGUAAGUGGAUCUACAUGGGUAUUUUUGUUCACAUUAUACAUAUUGCUCUGAACCCUUUGGUCUAAAUGAAAGAGAUGGAGAGAGAGAGAGAGAGAGAGAUAGAGAGAGGUAAAGAGAGAGAAAGAGAUAGAUAGAUAGAUAGAGAGAUAGAGACAGAGAGAUGAAGAGGGAGAGAGAUAGAGGCAGGGGCCAGGUUGGGGGGAGGGUCUGGAUCAUCUUUCCAGUUCCAAUGAAAGGUCAUUGAUCUGAACUGAAAUAUUUCUCUCUCCAUAGACACUGCCAAAUCUGCUGAGAAUCACUUACAUUUUUUGUUUAUAUUUCAGAUUUCCAGCUUCUUGCUUUUCAAUAAAAAAUAAGGAGGAAUCAAAGAAAAAUUGAGAUGCAAGGAAGGGGAUGGUAAUAGAUCACUGGCAGGCCUAGGAAGGAAGAACAGCUUGGCCUUGGAGUGCAGUUGAGUGUGGUGUGAGAUCAGUAGUAUUUAGGCAGAAAGAAAAUUAAAAUCUCAUAAGCAAAGACAUCUCUAAAUCCAUUUGCUAUAAAUGGAAUUGUAGCUUUUUGAUAAUUUUUCUACAACUCAUCCCAGAUUUAGAACAUUUAAAGUAACAUUAUCAGAAGGUUUUUUUCUCCCCCUCAGGCUCAGGCUGAGCAGAAAAUUGAUAGAGGUUGAAUUUCAAAGAUUUUUUUUGAUGCUAUUGCAGAUGUGUUUGGGCAGGUUUGUUGUUGCAACUUAAAUAGGCAAGUUCUUUCUUAUGGCAAUGUGGCUAAGCUAAAAGCCUGGCAGAGAAAAAAAAGUCUGCCUUAUGAUACUGAAUAAUGCAGAAAAUAAGCAAGCAAAGGCAUUAUUGCUUAAACUUUACUAAAAUGGAUAUAGAAAAUUGAUGAUUGACUGAAAAUUAAAAUUGACAGAUGUUCAAAGGUGAUAAGUGUUCUGAGGCAGUACAAUGGAGUUUUCUCAGAGCAACUUUGGCUUCUCUACCAUAACUUGGCUGGAGGUACAGUUAAGCCCUGCUUAUACCUUUAUACUUCUGAUACGUUUUCAGUGGGAGCAGCUCUGAAAAAGUUCCUGGUUAUUAAUGUUUUUUUUUAUAUGAGCAGCACAAUGGAAAUGUAAGUUGUUAUUUACUUCAGUUCACUUGUGAAGUAGGUAUUGACUUGCAAUCUCCAAGGAAUAAUUCCAAAGGUUAAGAUGAAUCAAAUAUUUUUUUGCCAUAAUGUUAAUUUACAUGAAGUUAAAUUAAGGUUUCCAUGUUGUAGAAUUGCUGAAUUCUUAUUGUCUGUUGUAGGCUCUAGAUCUUAAAAUGCUGUUAUACCACCAAUAUUUGCAGACUUUUCUCUUGUAGCACAGAUAAUCUUUGGAGCAGCACAGAUAGUUCAUAUUCAGUAGUGGGGACAGGAGGGAUAGGUUUUCCCAUUUAUUACCUGAGCAGUAAUCAGACCAACUGCAAUGCUCAGCCAUUCAGAAUUCAUUUGAUUUCCAUCCCAUUGAUCCAUGCUGUUAGGUGACCAACCAGGUGGUGGGAAUGAAAAUCUGUCUGAUGGUGAAACUAUUUUAUCUUUCCAUAAAACUUUUUCUUUUACUCUCCAAUUAUUCUUCUGACUUGAAACUUUAGUCUUCUAAUGCCUAAUUAAUCCAAGGAAACUGAAAAUAAAUCUCCAAGUUAUAAUCUUCACAUAUGAUGCUGGAAGUUGACCACAGAAACAUUACAGCUGAGAUUUAGGCUGUGUUUCACCUAGUUAGCCUUGAUAGCCACAUUUCUCAUCUAUAACAAACUAGAUACUCCUUUUUCAAGCCCAUGACUAUACACUGGGAAUAAAGCCUUGUCUCAGCCCAUAUCACACAUGAGGCCACGUUGGCUUUUUAAAUCUUUGUGGAUCAUUCAAUUUCUCACAAUAAAUUAGAUGGCACACUUUUGCUUAAAGGAGAAUGUUAUACCACAUAAUGUACACUGCAUUUCUCAGAAGUAAAUACUCAACUGAUUAGGCAGAAUCUGUAGAGAACAAGUCAGAGUUAGGAAGCUGAGUUAAACUGAUUUCAAGUCGAUGACCUGUUCCUCUGUUUCUCUCUCCAGAGAUCCUGCCUGACUAUGUCCAGAAUUUUCCAUUUCCAUUUCAGUGUUGCAGGGUUUUUGUUUGUGAUUUGAUUGAAUUAUUCAGAUGCAUUUAACCUGAUCUGUCUCUUUAAGGUCACAAAGACCAAUUGCUGAAAAGAUUUUGUAGAUACAGUACUUGUAAGUUCCCAGCAGCAAGUCAGAAGGAACUGACAUGUAGCAUUUAUUUAUUUAUUUAUUAAUUGUAGCAGAUACUUAAUGGGCUGGUAUUUACAUUGUGAAUGUGUGAACACCAAUUGGUGUACAUAGUUCCCCCUAAGUAAAUUCCCUGAAAGAGCGACAUUUCACUAAAGGGUGAAGUGUAAUGUUUUUAAUAGCAAUUUUGAGUGUUUCUUUUUGCAAUAACAUGCUUAGGAUGAGGCUUACUGUAUUUAGUCAUUUUCUGUUCCAUCUCUAGCAUAAAUGCUACAGUUAAAAUAUGCUGCAAAGCUUAAUAUAAAUUUGUAUAAUCUUGAAUAAUUUUGCAUAAUUUAUGUUUAAUUUAUGUUUUUCUUGUGAAUAUUGUGUCUCUAAUGCUAUGUGCCUGUGAUGCUGCUGCAAGUAAGUUUUUCAUUGCACCUGUGCACACAAGUACUUGUGCAUAUUGGUAUUGGUUUAUUAUUGUCACAUGUACUGAGGUACAGUGAAAAGCUUGUCUUUCAUACCGUUCAUACAGAUUAAUUCAUUACCACAGUACAUCUAAGUAAAACAAUAACACAAUGCAGAGUAAAGUGUUACAGUUACAGAGGAAGUGCAUUGCAGGUAGACAAUAAGGUGCAAGGCCAUAACAAGGUAGAUUGUGAGGUGAAGAGUCCAUUUUAUUGUACCAGGGGACUGUUCAAUAGUCUUAGCAGGAUAGAAGCUGUCCUUUAGCCAAGUGGUAUGUGCUUUCAGGCUUUUGUAUCUUCCGCCUGAUGGGAGGGAGGAGAGAGAGAACGUCCGGGGUGGGUGGGGUUUUUGAUCAGGCUGGCUGCUUUACCGAGGCAGCGAAAAGUGUAAACAGAGUCUAUGGAGGGGAGGAUGGUUUCUAUGAUGUGCUGACCUGUGUCCACAACUCUCUGCAGUUUAUUGCAGUCAGAGGCAGAGCAGUUGCCAUACCAAGCCGCAAUGCAUCCAGAUAGGAUGCUUUCUGUGGUACAUUGAUAAAAAUUGGUGAUUGUCUAAGGGGUCAUGCCAAAUUUCUUUUGCGUCCUGAGGAAGUAUAGGUGCUGGUGAGCUUUCUUGGCCGUGGCACCUAUGUGGUUGGACCAGGACAGGCUGUUGGUGAUGUUCACUCCUAGGGACUUAAAUCACUCAACCCUCUCGACCUCAGCACCAUCCCCCUUCCUGAAGUCAAUGACCAGCUCCUUCAUUUUGUUGACAUUGAGGGAAAGUUUGUUGUCAUGACACCAUGUCACUCGGCUCUCUCUCUCCUUUCUGUACUCCAACUCAUCCUUAUUUUAGAUACGGCCCACUACAGUGGUAUCAUCUGCAAUCUUGUAGGUGGCGUUAGAGCAGAAUCUGGCCACACAGUCAUGAGUGUAUAGGGAGUAGAGUAGAGGGCUGAGGACACAACCUUGUCGGGUACCAGUGUUGAGAAUAAUCGCGCCGGAGGUGUUGCUGCCUAUCCUCACUGAUUGCGGUCUUUUGGUCAAGAAGUCAAGGAUUCAGUUGCAAAUGGAGGUGUUGAGUUCCUGAUCUAGGAGUUUGGAGGAUAAACUCGAUUUUGACUUUGAAGAAUUUAAUAACAAAUCUAUUUGUAUUUGAGUAAAUGAAGCAACUCAGGAUCUGUUGAGUAUUGCUUCCUUUGGAAGAAAGGUGGAACUGGCUAAAUAUAUAUAAGGAUGAUGAUGAUGCAGACUUUGCAAACAAACCCUAUUACAGAAAUGUGUUGUUUUCACUGUGAACAAAGUUUCAUACAUAUGAAAAAUAUUGUAGCUAUCGUUUGAAGCUACAAGGAAAGUAAUGUAGAGUGGCUUUGGAUCUGCUUAAAGCCUGUCAAGGACAUUAAACCAUUGCUGCAAGGCACACCAAUGAAUACCAGGGUUGUAGGUCAUUACUCGGAAAGUCAAGAGCAGCUCAACAGUGUCAUGAAUUGGCCUUACAAGAGACAAUGGCCGAUCAUCUUUGUGCACCAAUUCCAGUUCCAACACCAUGCCUGUGCAGAGGGCACAGAAAUCAUCAGGCAAGUAUGGGACCACAGUCAGGUCUGGGAGGAGGUGGGGGAGAGAGGGCUGAGGGUGGCAUUAGGGAUCAGAAGGAGAUUCAGGUAUGACAUCUACUUUACUGUGAGCAGUUGAAGGUUCUGGAUGUGAGAGAAGUCGGCCUGCAAUUGUCAGUUUUACACAGGGUCUGGGAAGGGAAGGGAAGGGAAGAAGGCUAGUGCGAUUGGGUGAUCAGUCAGUGGGGGAGUUGGGUGAUUGGUGUGAGGAGAAGUCUGAUCAAGUGGUUAAUGUUUGAGUGGGAUCUAACCAGGUGCUUGGAUGGGCGGUGUCUGGUGAGAUGAUCGGUGGAUGGGAGCUCUGACCAGUUUAACCGCAGGUAAGGCAAUGGGGGUGGGGAGGGGGUUGUUGUAUUACCGGGGGUUGGUGAAAGAGUCUCAUGAUCUGAGCAGAUGCAUAGAUAAUCUUAGACCAAGAAUCGCAGAGUUCGUGACUCACUAAUUUUCUUCCACAAUUUCACGUCCCCACAAACUGCUGAGGAGUGACCUUCGAGAUUUAAACAACAGACAGACAGACAGAGUCUUUUUCCGAGGUUAGGGGAGUCUGAAACUAGAGGGUACGGAUUUAAGGUGAGAGGGAACAAACGUGACGGACAUCAGAGGGUAUGUGGAAUGAGCUGCCAGAGGAAGUGGUAGAGGCAGAUACAAUAACAGCACUUAAGAGGCAUUUGGACAGGUAGCGGGAUGUGGAUCAAAUGUAGGCAAAUGGGAUAAGCAUAGAUAGGCAUCACAGUCAGCAAGGAUGAUUUCGGUAGAAGAGCCCAUUUCUGUUCUGUACAACACUAUGACUCUAAACUGCAUGUAAUGCACAAAAGCAUCUAGUUUUUAAGUAAUGCACAGAACAAUCUAAUUUCUGAGGAAGCAUGUGGAUAUAAGUUGCCUGUUUGACUGAGGAGCCAUUAAAACAAGGCCCCGUCAGAUCUGAAAAUCAAAUUGUGCACAAGUUGGAGGCCGUGUUUCUUGCACCUGCCACAAAAAUUAAGCUUCAGAAAUACAAGAGACUGCAGAUGCUGGAAUCUGGAGCAAAAAACAAGGUGCUGGAGAAACUCAGCGGGUCAGGCAGCAUCGGUAGAGGGAAACGGACAGUCGACAUUUUGGGUCAAACCCCUUCAUCUGGACUGUCCAUUUCCCUCUACAGAUGCUGCCCGACCUGCUGAGUUCCUCCUGCAGCUUGUUUUUUGCUUCAUUGGCUUUACAGUGGCAAAUGUGUAAAGAUAUUGAAAGAGACUAUCUGAAUGCAAGUCUUUAUAUGUAAAAAUAGCAAAGACAUAUCAAGAGCCAGUGUUUUAUGCUAUCAUUCCUGGAUUCUUUUAAAUUAUUUUACUUUAAUAAACUGUUUUUAAAACCUUUAAUUAUUUCAAAACUCACUAAUGGCUGCCUGUAGUACAAAAAUAGCAAGGUAACACAACUGUGUAAACAUGAAAUUUAUGACAAUACUUUUGGGAUGGAUUAUAUCUGUAGCAUAAAGAAUGUAUCAUGAACUUACAAAGUGCUAGAAAUAAACUAAGAAUGUUUCAGGUUGGUCUCUUCAUAUUUGGCCACUUUUUCAAGGCAGUUUUGGGAGUACUUUUUACU